GUUUACUCCUCCUACCACUCCCUUAUCUCCCAAAAAUGGACAUCUUCAGCCAUGGAAAAAAUUGAUCCAAGAAUCCGCCGGGGUGCGACGCCGAGUCGACGCUAGUUCCAAUCCCAUGCGCGGCGCCGACUGCGCUCCUCUCUCCACUCGCCGUUCCCCCAAAAUGAAACUCUCGACCCAACCACUGCCGGGGUCGUUCAAUUUCUCAGAGAUAAAUCUGACAAAGCAACCACUAUGGGAUACAUGAGAUGUGCAGUGAGGUGAUGUAUGUGUGGUGUAGAGAUGGGUGGUAGAGGAGUCGUCAGAUGUACAUUCAAUUAUAUUGCGUUCAUGUCAGAGCUAUGAGACAGAUUAAGGCAUGAGUCGUGAUAUUGAAAUUGCGGAUACUUAGUAAAUUGAAGGU
rnacentral:rRNA from 1 species